rnacentral:sRNA from 1 species
CAGCUUGCGAGCAGAACCUCCUGAGGUGUAUUUCCGGUCGUGCUGGGGCUGAGAGAGACCACAGCCCUUUGGGGGAUACAAGCAAGAGUUAAGUUGCUGUGAAUUCUGCCACCGUGCCCAGCUCUGAAGCCUCAGCUCUUGCCAAACAGACCCAUGUCAGCCCCGCUGGAUGCCGCCCUCCGCGCCCUUCAGGAGGAGCAGGCCAGACUCCAGAUGAGGCUGCAGGAGCUGCAGCAGCUGAGAAAGGAGCUCGGGGACUCCCCCAAAGACAAGUAAAUGUAUUUAUCUCCAGCACUCAGCAUCAAUGGAAUGGAAUUGGAGAUGCCUUCCUCCUAGGUGGGAGUGAGGAACACUCCUACUCCCCUCCCCUACUUCC